rnacentral:rRNA from 1 species
GAUGAACGCUGGCGGCGUGCUUAACACAUGCAAGUCGAACGAAGCACCUCUCCCGAAGAUUGACACAGCUUGCUGUAGAUUGAUUCAUUUGAGGUGACUGAGUGGCGGACGGGUGAGUAACGCGUGGGUAACCUGCCUCAUAGAGGGGGACAACAGUUGGAAACGACUGCUAAUACCGCAUAGUAAGAAGAAUUCGCAUGGUUUCUUCUUGAAAGAUUUAUCGCUAUGAGAUGGACCCGCGUCUGAUUAGCUAGUUGGUAAGGUAACGGCUUACCAAGGCGACGAUCAGUAGCCGGCUUGAGAGAGUGAACGGCCACAUUGGGACUGAGACACGGCCCAAACUCCUACGGGAGGCAGCAGUGGGGAAUAUUGCACAAUGGGGGAAACCCUGAUGCAGCGACGCCGCGUGAGUGAAGAAGUAUUUCGGUAUGUAAAGCUCUAUCAGCAGGGAAGAUAAUGACGGUACCUGACUAAGAAGCCCCGGCUAACUACGUG